CAGCAGGGAAGAAAAUGACGGUACCUGAUUAAGAAGCCCCGGCCAACUACGUGCCCGCAGCCGCGGUAAUACGUAGGGGGCAAGCGUUAUCCGGAUUUACUGGGCGUAAAGGGUGCGUAGAUGGCACAAAAAGUCUUGUGUAAAAAUGCUAGGCUCAACCUAGUAGAGCAAAAGAUACUUUUGAGCUAGAGUAUGGCAGAGGCAAGUGGAACUACAUGUGUAGCGGUAAAAUGCGUAAAUAUAUGUAAGAACACCAGUGGCGAAGGCGGCUUGCUGGGCCGAUACUGACAUUGAGGCACGAAAGCGUGGGGAGCAAACAG
rnacentral:rRNA from 1 species